rnacentral:misc_RNA from 1 species
AAGUCGUAACAAGGUUUCCGUAGGUGAACCUGCGGAAGGAUCAUUAACACAACUUAUUAUCCACUAUCAAAACAAACCGUGAACUUUUCUCCUCCCUAACAUAUAUAUAUAUAUGUAUGUUAGGCUAACACAAAUUAACACUAUAUUUUCACUCCAAUCACACAAAACACUUUAUUGUUUUGUUUGUCUACUUGACCUAUUUGUAUUUGUUCUAAACAAGCAAUACAAGCAGUAAAAGCAGCAGAUAAAUCAACACACACUAAAAAACCAUAUAUCUUUGAAAAAAGGUUAUGUUUUUUUUCUAUUACGAAAUAAUAGGAAGUUUAUAAAACAACUCUUAGCAAUGGAUAUCUUGGUUCUC